rnacentral:rRNA from 1 species
UACGAAGGGGGCUAGCGUUGUUCGGAAUUACUGGGCGUAAAGGGCGCGUAGGCGGCUCGGCAAGUUGGAUGUGAAGGCCCAGGGCUCAACCCUGGAAUUGCAUUCAAGACUGCCUUGCUUGAAUUCGGUAGAGGUUGGUGGAAUUCCCAGUGUAGAGGUGAAAUUCGUAGAGAUUGGGAAGAACACCAGUGGCGAAGGCGGCUCACUGGCCCGAUACUGACGCUGAUGCACGAAAGCGUGGGGAGCAAACAGG